rnacentral:rRNA from 1 species
GUUGGGCGUAAAGAGCUCGUAGGCGGUUUGUCACGUCUGCUGUGAAAACUGGAGGCUCAACCUCCAGCCUGCAGUGGGUACGGGCAGACUAGAGUGCGGUAGGGGAGAUUGGAAUUCCUGGUGUAGCGGUGGAAUGCGCAGAUAUCAGGAGGAACACCGAUGGCGAAGGCAGAUCUCUGGGCCGUAACUGACGCUGAGGAGCGAAAGCAUGGGGAGCGAACAGGAUUAGAUACCCUGGUAGUCCAUGCCGUAAACGUUGGGAACUAGAUGUAGGGACCAUUCCACGGUUUCUGUGUCGCAGCUAACGCAUUAAGUUCCCCGCCUGGGGAGUACGGCCGCAAGGCUAAAACUCAA